UACGUAGGGUGCAAGCGUUGUCCGGAAUUAUUGGGCGUAAAGAGCUCGUAGGCGGUCCGUCACGUCGGGCGUGAAAACCCAGGGCUCAACCCUGGGCCUGCGUUCGAUACGGGCGGACUAGAGUUCGGUAGGGGAGGACUGGAAUUCCUGGUGUAGCGGUGAAAUGCGCAGAUAUCAGGAGGAACACCGGUGGCGAAGGCGGGGUCUCUGGACAGUUCCUGACGCUGAGGCACGAAGGCCAGGGGAGCAAACGGG
rnacentral:rRNA from 1 species